rnacentral:rRNA from 1 species
AUUGAACGCUGGCGGCAUGCCUUACACAUGCAAGUCGAACGGUAACGGGCCUUCGGGUGCCGACGAGUGGCGAACGGGUGAGUAAUACAUCGGAACGUGCCCGAUCGUGGGGGAUAACGAGGCGAAAGCUUUGCUAAUACCGCAUACGAUCUACGGAUGAAAGCCGGGGACCGCAAGGCCUUGCGCGGACGGAGCGGCCGAUGGCAGAUUAGGUAGUUGGUGGGAUAAAAGCUUACCAAGCCGACGAUCUGUAGCUGGUCUGAGAGGAUGAUCAGCCACACUGGGACUGAGACACGGCCCAGACUCCUACGGGAGGCAGCAGUGGGGAAUUUUGGACAAUGGGCGCAAGCCUGAUCCAGCCAUGCCGCGUGCAGGAUGAAGGCCUUCGGGGUGUAAACUGCUUUUGUACGGAACGAAAAGCCUUCUUUUAAUACAGGAGGGUCAUGACGGUACCGUAAGAAUAAGCACCGGCUAACUACGUG